GAGUCAACAGUUACAUCGUAUCAGCUGUCUCUGAGGCCUACAGCGGCUGCUUCAUAGAGGCUGUACUUCUGUGUUCAGUGCGCACAGUGCCUAGCAGGAACAGAUGUUGAACGAACGUCUGUCAUUGUCUCUGCAAGAGCAGAGGUUGCCAGCAGCAAUAGCAGAGGAAGAAGAAACAUUAAUGGGGCCUGGACUUCCACUUCACAGCAAAGUAGCCCAGGAAGUUUGAGGAGACUCUCUCAAAGUCACUGUCAAGUCAUUAAGGACCUGGGUCACCCUGCAUCCCCAUCUGGGGCUCCUUCUAUAUCAGUUUUCCUGAAGCUUAGUCCAACUUCUUGAAGUGGGCCAAGAAAAGGCUGUUUCCAGAAUCGGAUAUUGCAUCUCUAAAACACAAGCUUCACUGAUGUCGUGGAGUCUAUGAGACACAAACUUUAUGUCGUGUCAUGGAAUCCGGGAUGAUCAGCCAUCGCUUCACACCCAAGGAAAGAACUGCUGUCCAAUGCCAGGCCCAGAGCUGCUUGGUUUGUGGCAAGUCUUUGGAAAGAUAAUUCAUUCAUUUUAGCUGAAAAUACCCCGUGUUUUUCUGGUCUCCCUACUGAAAAAAUGAGUAUGAUACACAAAACAUGGUGCAUGGCUCUAGCUCUUAAUAAAUUCCAAGCCUUUUUGACCAAA